GGAGCAAUCAUAUUUAAUAGAUUUAUAUAAUUCCAAAGAUGAGGAAACUAUACCGUAAGAUUUAGCAUUUAGAAAAGAAAUGCAAAAUUGUUGAAGGAUCAUCGUCAGUGGUGGCGGUAAUUCGUGAAAUUUCAUAAUAUCAUGACGAAAUGUUGGAGCAG